CUCUUCAAGGGCUUGCACUUUCUCUCUCUUAAAAUUUUACUUCUCCUCUCUUCUUUCUCUCUUUAAAAUAUUCAUCUCUUUUCAUGGAUUUCUCUUUCUAAAAGUAAUCUCUUUAAGAUUAAUUGAGUAAAGAAUUUUUUUUUUGAUAAUUUUUGAUCCAGCUUAGUGAAGGUUCUAGAUCUAUAAUUGUCGAACAGUGUGUUGGCACCCACUUUGAUUAGAUC
rnacentral:lncRNA from 1 species